rnacentral:rRNA from 1 species
UUUCUCUAAUCAGUGAAACUGAUCUCUCCGUGAAGAAGCGGGGAUACUCCUAUAAGACGAAAAGACCCCAUGGAGCUUCAAACCCAACUACACCCUUAACUACCACAACCGCACAACCUCUUAGGGCCCUGUAUAGUUGGUUUUAGGUUGGGGCGACCACGGAGUACAACCAAACCUCCGCAAUGGACGGGACCACUCCCUUAUCUAAGAGCCACACCUCUAAGAAUUAAAACACUAACAUAAAAUGAUCCAUGAUCUGAUCAAUGAACCAAGUUACCCUGGGGAUAACAGCGCAAUCCAUUUCAAGAGCCCUUAUCGACAAGUGGGUUUACGACCUCGAUGUUGGAUCAGGGUAUCCUAGUGGUGCAGCAGCUACUAAUGGUUCGUUUGUUCAACGAUUAAAACCCU